rnacentral:rRNA from 1 species
CCUACGGGAGGCAGCAGUGGGGACUAUUGGGCAAUGGGCGCAAGCCUGACCCAGCAACGCCGCGUGAAGGAAGAAGGCUUUCGGGUUGUAAACUUCUUUUAAGGGGGAAGAGCAGAAGACGGUACCCCUUGAAUAAGCCACGGCUAACUACGUGACAGCAGCCGCGGUAAUACGUAGGUGGCAAGCGUUGUCCGGAUUUACUGGGUGUAAAGGGCGUGCAGCCGGAGAGACAAGUCAGAUGUGAAAUCCACGGGCUCAACCCGUUAACUUCAUUUGAAACUGUUUCCCUUGAGUGUCGGAGAUGUAAUCGGAAUUCCGUGUGUAGCUGUGAAAUGCGGAGAUAUAAGGAAGAACACCAGUGGCGAAGGCGGAUUACUGGACGAUAACUGACGGUGAGGCGCGAAAGCGUGGGGAGCAAACAGGAUUAGAUACCCUUGUAGUC